rnacentral:rRNA from 1 species
GAUGAACGCUAGCGGGAGGCCUAACACAUGCAAGCCGAGCGGUAUUGUUUCUUCGGAAAUGAGAGAGCGGCGUACGGGUGCGUAACACGUGUGCAACCUGCCUUUAUCUGGGGGAUAGCCUUUCGAAAGGAAGAUUAAUACUCCAUAAUAUAUUGAACGGCAUCGUUUAAUAUUGAAAGCUCCGGCGGAUAGAGAUGGGCACGCGCAAGAUUAGCUAGUUGGUGAGGUAACGGCUCGCCAAGGCGAUGAUCUUUAGGGGGCCUGAGAGGGUGAUCCCCCACACUGGUACUGAGACACGGACCAGACUCCUACGGGCGGCAGCAGUGCGGAAUAUUGGUCAAUGGGUGCAAGCCUGAACCAGCCAUCCCGCGUGAAGGACGACCGCCCUAUGGGUUGUAAACUUCUUUUGUAUAGGGAUAAACCUACCCUCGAGAGGGUAGCUGAAGGUACUAUCAGAAUAAGCACCGGCUAACUCCGUG